UUAGGAAUAUUCGUCAAUGGAGGAAACUCUGAACGAGCAAUGCCGCGUGAAGGAUGACGGUCCUAUGGAUUGUAAACUUCUGUUGUUAGGGAAGAACGACCUAAGUAGGAAAUGACUUAGGAGUGACGGUACCUUUCAAGAAAGCUCCGGCUAACUACGUGCCAGCAGCCGCGGUAAUACGUAGGGAGCGAGCGUUAUCCGGAUUUAUUGGGUGUAAAGGGUGCGUAGGCGGCUUUAUAGGUCUGUGGUUUAAGUCCGAAGCUUAACUUCGGUUCGCCACAGAAACCGUUUAGCUUGAGUAUGGUAGAGGCAAGUGGAAUUUCUAGUGUAGCGGUUAAAUGCGUAGAUAUUAGAAGGAACACCAGUGGCGAAGGCGACUUGCUGGGCCAUCACUGACGCUGAGGCACGAAAGCGUGGGGAGCAAAUA
rnacentral:rRNA from 1 species